AGAAGAGGUUGGUGUUACAUGGAGCAGCAGCACAGUCAAGCAGGGAACAGAUCACGUAAAGCCCUUUAGAGAGUGAAGUCGGCUUUUUAUGCUAGGUGCAACUGGGAGUUCUGAACACGGCAAAGUUGGACAUUCCAAAGAUGGCGUAGAUGAACAUGACCAGGAAGAGCAGGAGGCCGAUGUUAAACAACGCAGGAAGGGACAUCAUCAAAGCAAAGAGCAGCGUGCGGAUCCCCUUUGCUCCUUUGACUAGACGUAGGAUUCGGCCAAUCCUGGCAAGACGGAUCACUCGGAACAGGGUAGCAGAGAUCUCUGGAGGUGAAACAUUGCUCUGAACUGGCAUUGAUUCUAGCCCAGCUCUUGUAGACCAAUUACCAACUUCUCCAUCUCCCUCCAGUGCCUGGAACUGGACCUGGCACACAGGCCUCUGGCUCAUCGGAAUUCAUAGGUUCAGCCUCUGCUUCUUCUCCUUCUCCAGGCAAAGGGUUAUCAACUGUGCUGCACUCUGAGGAGCUUGACCGGUUUAAUCUCUAGAAAGGAAUUCACCACCCCACCAGACACAAUGAAGAUGAGGUCAUUGUGUGGGUCCAAAUCCAAUAUAACUGGGGUCCUUAUAAGAAGAAAAGACCGAGACACACAGGGAGAAAACUACCCUUUAGACUAAAAAGAAAACAAAUAUUACAUACCCUGAAUCUGUGCUGAAACCACAAAGGAGAGCAUCUUUGGAUCCUUCCAAGUAAUAAAAAUAUUCUGUUGAAGAAGAAUUUGAACAGUUAUAACAUCACAGACUUUAAUCUGUGAUUGUGAUAAAGGAGGUCAAAUUAAAAAAUCUGAUUAUUGGGAGACUUUUGGAGUAAUCAUGGAAGAAAGACUAUGAAAUCAGAUAUUCUUGGAUUUGAAUGUUGCUUCUAUCCCUUCUUAACUUAAAUCCAUGGGCAUUCAUUAUCAUCAGUGCCUAACCUGGCAGAACCACAGUCUACACAUAAUCUGGCAUCUGUCUUUUCCAUGCUGGCUACCAAAUGGCUGAAUGUUGGUGGAGAAACUCUCACAACCAAGUGAAUGGUUAUAUUUUAAGUUUUAUUCAUUUUUAAACAAGAACUUGGAAAAAGUGUAAACCUAAUUGGCACUGCAUAGACUAUCCAUCCAAGUGCUGAGCAUGGAGGAAGAUGAUCAAUCUCAAUGAUGUCACAUACCUCUGAGUGGGAGAUAGUCUUUUUGAAAAAUUUAGUAUUUGCCUAUCAAUGACUAGCUUUCAUAUAGCUUCCAUUUUCCUUUAAAUACAGACAUUCCAUGCUGGAAAAAUCAGACCCCAGAGGUUUGCUGUUAUUGGAACACUGUGCUGCCUGAGAUUUUCAUAAAUUUGCCGUUUCAAAAAGCUGAAAGUACUUACGCAAAAACAAUGACGACAAAAUCCAGCCAGUUCCACGGGUCACGAAGAAAAGUGAAUUCUCCUACACAGAAGCCUCUUGCAAGGAUUUUUACAAGUGAUUCAAAAGUAUAUAUUCCAGUAAAAGUGUACCUAAACACAAGAUUCCAUUGGGAUACUAGAUGUGAAAAGAAUACAACCACCAUGUAAAUCUUUAUAACUUAUUUUCUCUAAUUAACCACUGGAAGACAUAUAUUGGAGGAUGGCUGUUGGGUUAUGGACACACCCUAUUAAACUACAAUAGGUCUAUCCAGAAAAUAUUAAAAUGUCAAUAUCAGAAACACUCCCAGAAAGCAGAGGUACUUGAAAUAACUAAGAAUAUAGGUCUCAGAUCUGCCUAAAAAUUUCCUACAUUGCUUCUAUCAAAAAUUCACCCAAUCAUUUAAAAAUACACCCAUAUAAUUAUAAAACAUACACCCAAGAAUAAAAUAUGUGUAACAUGUCUAAGAACAGGAUGGAGCAUCUGACAAGUUCAUUCUUUGAGAAAACACUGUAGCAUCUAAUUUUUCUAAUCUAGCAGGUUAAUAUCAUAGAGGAGGUAAAGAACAAAAGAAAAGCAAGCAUAUAACAUGGGAAGGUAAAGAUUCCCCAUCUUCAUAAAUGCAGUAACUUCCUGGCAGGAAAAGGAAAGGAUGAAAUGAUAAUACCAAAACUAUAUUAAAAUGUACUUAUACCCACUUACUCGACAUUUUUGGUCCAGUCCGGUGGGUUAUUCAUGGUCAUAAAUAUGCAGUUUGUCAGAAUAGUGCACAUGAUGAGCAUGCUGAAUAAGGUAGCUUAGAAUCAAGGAACAAAAGAGACGACAGUGGGAAUUUGAAAUAUUUGAGGAUGACACUUGUUGAAAUGCUUACAACUUUUCCUAAGAAAAAAAUUCUAAAUGAGCUUGUAGACUAUUUUGUCUCUUUGAACAAGAGAGUAAUAAAUAAAAGUAACAUAUCCUAAAAUCUUAAUAUUGCCACUCUCCCAGUCUUCUCUGA
rnacentral:lncRNA from 1 species